rnacentral:rRNA from 1 species
UACGUAGGGACCAAGCGUUGUUCGGAUUUACUGGGCGUAAAGGGCGCGUAGGCGGCGCGGUAAGUCACUUGUGAAAUCUCUGAGCUUAACUCAGAACGGCCAAGUGAUACUGCAGUGCUAGAGUGUGGAAGGGGCAAUCGGAAUUCUUGGUGUAGCGGUGAAAUGCGUAGAUAUCGGGAGGAACACCUGAGGCGAAGGCGGGCUACUGGGCCGAUACUGACGCUGAUGCGCGAAAGCCAGGGGAGCAAACGGG